AGCAGUCGCGGUAAUUCCAGCUCCAAUAGCGUAUAUUAAAGUUGUUGCAGUUAAAAAGCUCGUAGUUGAAUUUCGGGAUCAAUAUAUCGGUCGUGCCUUGGUACGUACUGGUAUCAUUGGUUUCUCCUUUCUGACGAACCAUGAUGUCAUUAAUUUGGUGUUAUGGGAAGUUAGGACUGUUACUUUGAAAAAAUUAGAGUGUUUAAAGCAGGCUUUAGCUUGAAUACAUUAGCAUGGAAUAAUGAAAUAGGACGUUCGAACCUAUUUUGUUGGUUUCUAGGAUCAACGUAAUGAUUAAUAGGGAUAGUUGGGGGCAUUAGUAUUCAAUUGUCAGAGGUGAAAUUCUUGGAUUUAUUGAAGACUAACUACUGCGAAAGCAUUUGCCAAAGGAUGUUUUCAUUAAUCAAGAACGAAAGUUAGGGGAUCGAAGACGAUCAGAUACCGUCGUAGUCUUAACCAUAAACUAUGCCGACUAGGGAUCGGAUGAUGUUAAUUUUUUAAUGACUCAUUCGGCGCCUUA
rnacentral:misc_RNA from 1 species